rnacentral:rRNA from 1 species
UACAGAGGUCCCAAGCGUUGUUCGGAUUCACUGGGCGUAAAGGGUGCGUAGGUGGUGGGGUAAGUCGGAUGUGAAAGCUCGGAGCUUAACUCCGAAAUUGCAUUGGAAACUACCCUGCUAGAGGGUCGGAGGGGGGGGACUGGAAUACUUGGUGUAGCAGUGAAAUGCGUAGAUAUCAAGUGGAACACCAGUGGCGAAGGCGAGUCCCUGGACGACUCCUGACACUGAGGCACGAAAGCUAGGGGAGCAAACAGG